rnacentral:lncRNA from 1 species
ACAAGUAUCUGCAUUUCAUUACAUAACAAGAUCAGCAUAAAGAAACCAAGCAAGAGAGAGGAUAAGUGAGUAAAAGACAGAGAGAGAGAGAGAGAGGGAGAGGUUACAUGGCGGCGACUGAAGCAAUCCAUUCGAGGAUGGAAGUACCAAAGCCUAAACCAGUGAGCAUGAAGGUGUGAUUAGCAAGGUUCUUCGCAGCGGUAGCGAGCUCGUUGAGAUCUGUUCCAAGCAUGUUUUGAAGGGUUCCAUGGUCACUCCUCAUCGGCGUGAAAGUCAUUUACUUGGCCGAAGAAUACAGAGGAAGAGAAAAAGUUGGCAACUUUGAAAAUUAUAGAGCAGAGAGGAGAGAAGAUGGUUGUGAAGGACUCGUGAUUGGUGUAACAACAUAAUAUAGAAGUGAAUAGCUGGAUACUUCCUCGCCACGUGGCACGUGAGAUCUUUUUAGGAAAUAUUUUUAACUUAUAUAAAUGUAGUAUCGAUCUUUUAUAUUUUUUUGUUCACAGUAUUUUAUACGUUUAUAGUAUACUUUACUAACCCAAUCGAUGACUGAGGAAGACAGUUGACACGUGUCGAGUUGUGAAUUCUCCCACGUUGCGAUGGACCUUCUACGAGUGUGUAAUUGGUGGACGUAAGCAACGCUGGUUCGAGCCAGCUGUAAUUUAAUUAUAGUGGAAUAUGAUAUUUAAUCUAAUUUAAUUGUAAAAUUAUAUGUUUCGACCAGUUUUAAAUGUAGUCAAUAGUGAAACAAGAAAAGCGUAUUUGCACUUGUGUGGUUUCGAUUUCUAUUAUAAUUUCGAUUCAUAAAAACUGUAACCAUAAAAAUUAAAAACAUACUUAAAUAUACAUUAAUAAAUAUAUAAAUAAGAUACUAAGAGCAUCUUCAAAGAGUCUUUAUUUUUUCUUCUAUAAUUUACAUUAAAAUAGAGUAACUUUAUUAUAGAGUUGAAUUUGCUCCAAAAGUUCACUCUAUAAUAGAGUUACUCUAUAAUAGAGUGAAAUAUAGAGUAAUCUUAUUUUUUUACUCUAAAUAUAGAGUAAAAAAACAAGAAUACUAUAUAUUUCACUAUAUUAUAGAGUAACUCUAUUAUAAAGUGAACCAUUGAAGCAAAUCCAACUCUAUAAUAGAAUUAUUUGUAGCAUUGGAGAUGGUCUAAUUAGUAGCCCCGGAAAAAAACCGAACCUCAAUUAUGAACGGUUGCGCGAAAUUCGAAACAUAGCGUAGUAUAGACUUUCCAGUUGGAUUAAAUUAUUUAUUUUUAUAUUUAUUUAUUUAGUAUUUGAUGUCGGCAGAAGAUAUUUUUGGUUUUGAACAUUAGAGAAAUGGAGGAAGAGGUUGGAUGCUUUCCUAAUGUUUAUAGCUUUAGUGUUUUGAUGGAAACGUAUUGUUUUCGAGGUAUGAUGGUUGAAGCAGAGAGGGUGUGGGAAGAGAUGAGGUUAAAAGGAGUGGUUUAUGAUGUUGUGGCUUACAACACUAUGAUUGGUGGGCUUUGUAGUAACUUAGAGGUUACUAAAGCCAAGAAGCUUUUUGAGGAUAUGGGGUCCAAGGGAGUAGAGUGUACUUCUUUAACUUAUGAUCAUCUCGUUAGAGGGUAUUGUAAAGUUAAGGAUGUUGAUUCGGCUAUGGCUGUUUAUAGGGAGAUGAAAAGUAAGAGUUUUGAGGCAGAGGGUUUAACCAUUGAAGCGUUGGUGGAAGGAUUGUGUGAUGGUAACAAAGAAAGAGUUGUUGAAGCCGCGGAGAUCGUGAAGGAAGCGGUGAGGGAAUCAGAGUUUUGUCCUAGUCGGAAAUGUUAUGAGUUGCUGAUAAAGAGGUUGUGUGAAGAAGGGAAGAUGGAUAGAGCGUUGAGCAUUCAGGCAGAGAUGGUUGGAAGAGGACUUAAACCUAGCCAAGAGACGUAUAAAGCUUUUAUCGACGGGUAUGGAAGAGCAGGUGAUGAAGAAACAUCUUCAUUGUUGGCUAUAGAAAUGGCUGAAUCACUCAAGCUAAGAGAUGAGGAAGAAGAAAGCUAGAAUUUUGAGCUUUCUAUGUAUGUUGCAAGUGACAAAUCUCAACUCAAUUCAUACUGAACAAACACAUCAUUGACCAUUCUUAUUUCUGAAAGUCUCGACUUGUGAAUAGGUCAAGAGGGUAAAACUAAAACAAGAUUGGUUGACAAGUUAUGAGGAGAGACAGAAUCAUAAAAAUCACUCUUACAUAAACACAAAUGGGGAAAAUAAACAGAGAAGUUGUGAAAUGAUGUUUUGCUUAAAAGAUGAUAGCCCAAACGGGGAAGACGACGAGAGCAAUAAUCCCAAGGGUGUUGGAGAUGCCAUUAGCUUUAGUGAAUGCGUUUUUGAAUCCACCAGAAGCUCUAAUGUGUUCUUGAAGCAAGUAACCUCCAAUUCCUAAUAAAUCGAAGUGUUGCAUCUGGUUUACCUGAAAAGGCUAAAGAUGACAGAAGGAAGGCUGAAGAAGAUGUAAGGAAUCAAAAGUGAUGUGAGCAUAUUGGUCUUCCAGUUAGUUCGGUCCAAGACCAACAAGUAUCUGCAUUUCAUUACAUAACAAGAUCAGCAUAAAGAAACCAAGCAAGAGAGAGGAUAAGUGAGUAAAAGACAGAGAGAGAGAGAGAGAGGGAGAGGUUACAUGGCGGCGACUGAAGCAAUCCAUUCGAGGAUGGAAGUACCAAAGCCUAAACCAGUGAGCAUGAAGGUGUGAUUAGCAAGGUUCUUCGCAGCGGUAGCGAGCUCGUUGAGAUCUGUUCCAAGCAUGUUUUGAAGGGUUCCAUGGUCACUCCUCAUCGGCGUGAAAGUCAUUUACUUGGCCGAAGAAUACAGAGGAAGAGAAAAAGUUGGCAACUUUGAAAAUUAUAGAGCAGAGAGGAGAGAAGAUGGUU